rnacentral:lncRNA from 1 species
GCCUUGAAAAAAUUUGCCCGGUGACCCCCAUUUUUCUUUUUGAAAUUCUUUAACAUGUAUAAUGAUAAGCCAUCUGUAAAAGUCUUAUAAAAUUUUAAUUACUUUUUAACAGUUUUUGAGAACUUUAACUUGUCAAUGAUAAAGCUAUGAAAAGUCAAGCGAGAAUAUUUUCCCGCCAAAAUUUCAAUGGCUCAUAUCUCGAAAACAAGCACGGUGACCUAUAUAUUUUUU